GACGAACGCUGGCGGCGUGCUUAACACAUGCAAGUCGAACGGAAAGGCUCCAGCUUGCUGGAGUACUCGAGUGGCGAACGGGUGAGUAACACGUGGGUAAUCUGCCCUGCACUCUGGGAUAAGCCUGGGAAACUGGGUCUAAUACUGGAUAUGACCUUUCUCCUUAUGGGGUUUGGUGGAAAGUUUUUCGGUGUAGGAUGAGCCCGCGGCCUAUCAGCUUGUUGGUGGGGUGAUGGCCUACCAAGGCGACGACGGGUAGCCGGCCUGAGAGGGUGAUCGGCCCCUUUGGGACUGGGAUCCGGCCCCGCCCCCUCCGGGGGGCAGCGGGGGGGAAUAUUGCAAAAGGGGCGGAAGCCGGAUGCAGCCGCCCCGCGGGGGGGAUGACGGCCUUCGGGUUUUAAACCUUUUUCAGCAGGGACGAAGCGUAAGUGACGGUCCCUGCAGAAGAAACCCCGGCCAACUAUGU
rnacentral:rRNA from 1 species